rnacentral:rRNA from 1 species
UACGUAGGGUGCAAGCGUUAAUCGGAAUUACUGGGCGUAAAGCGUGCGCAGGCGUUUUUUUAAGUCAGAUGUGAAAUCCCCGGGCUUAACCUGGGAACUGCGUUUGAAACUACAAGGCUAGAGUGUGGCAGAGGGGGGUGGAAUUCCACGUGUAGCAGUGAAAUGCGUAGAGAUGUGGAGGAACACCGAUGGCGAAGGCAGCCCCCUGGGUUAACACUGACGCUCAGGCACGAAAGCGUGGGGAGCAAACAGG